rnacentral:rRNA from 1 species
GAAACGGAUGCUAAUACCCCAUAGGUGGAUUGGUCGCAUGACGAAUUCAUUAAAGGUGGCUUUGCUACCACUCAUGGAUAGCCUCGCGGCGUAUUAGCUAGUUGGUAAGGUAAUGGCUUACCAAGGCAGUGAUACGUAGCCGACCUGAGAGGGUGAUCGGCCACACUGGAACUGAGACACGGUCCAG